CCUACGGGAGGCAGCAGUGAGGAAUAUUGGUCAAUGGGCGCGAGCCUGAACCAGCCAAGUCGCGUGAGGGAGGACGGCCCUACGGGUUGUAAACCUCUUUUGCCGGGGAGCAACGGGCGCCACGUGUGGCGUCACUGAGAGUACCCGGAGAAAAAGCAUCGGCUAACUCCGUGCCAGCAGCCGCGGUAAUACGGAGGAUGCGGGCGUUAUCCGGUUUUAUGGGGGUUAAGGGGGGCGUAGGCGGAUCGGUAAGUCAGUGGUAAAAGUGGGGGGCUAAACCCCUUCCCGCCAUUGAAACUGGCGUUCUUGAGUGGACGAGAAGUAUGCGGAAUGCGUGGUGUAGCGGUGAAAUGCAUAGAUAUCACGCAGAACCCCGAUUGCGAAGGCAGCAUGCCGGCUUCCUACUGACGCUGAAGCACGAAAGCGUGGGGAUCGAACAGGAUUAGAUACCCCGGUAGUC
rnacentral:rRNA from 1 species